GGCUCCGGCAAGUGGUGAGUCAACUCAUGGUUAGGGAAAGGAGCAGGGUCGAAGGAGUCGAGGUGGAAAACGAGUAUAGAAGCUAAAACAGGGGCUAGCAGAGAGAAAACAAUAGUGUAGAAGGGCCAUGAUGAGGCCCUCGUAGUCCUUGAAACUGAGUGAGAUUGGUUGUUUUGUGGGAACAUUUCUGGUGAGGAAAAUAAGAGAGGGGAGGAGAAGAG
rnacentral:misc_RNA from 1 species